CCUACGGGUGGCAGCAGUGGGGAAUCUUGCGCAAUGGGCGAAAGCCUGACGCAGCCAUGCCGCGUGAAUGAUGAAGGUCUUAGGAUUGUAAAAUUCUUUCACCGGGGAAGAUAAUGACUGUACCCGGAGAAGAAGCUCCGGCUAACUUCGUGCCAGCAGCCGCGGUAAUACGAAGGGGGCUAGCGUUGCUCGGAAUUACUGGGCGUAAAGGGAGCGUAGGCGGACAGUUAAGUCAGUGGUGAAAGCCCAGGGCUCAACCCUGGAAUUGCCUUUGAUACUGACUGUCUUGAGUAUGGGAGAGGUGUGCGGAACUCCGAGUGUAGAGGUGAAAUUCGUAGAUAUUCGGAAGAACACCAGUGGCGAAGGCGGCACACUGGCCCAUUACUGACGCUGAGGCUCGAAAGCGUGGGGAGCAAACAGGAUUAGAUACCCUAGUAGUC
rnacentral:rRNA from 1 species